rnacentral:rRNA from 1 species
AUUGAACGCUGGCGGCAUGCCUUACACAUGCAAGUCGAACGGCAGCACGGGAGCAAUCCUGGUGGCGAGUGGCGAACGGGUGAGUAAUAUAUCGGAACGUGCCCGGUCGUGGGGAUAACGUAGCGAAAGCUACGCUAAUACCGCAUACGAUCUACGGAUGAAAGCGGGGGAUCGCAAGACCUCGCGCGAUUGGAGCGGCCGAUAUCAGAUUAGGUAGUUGGUGAGGUAAAGGCUCACCAAGCCGACGAUCUGUAGCUGGUCUGAGAGGACGACCAGCCACACUGGGACUGAGACACGGCCCAGACUCCUACGGGAGGCAGCAGUGGGGAAUUUUGGACAAUGGGCGCAAGCCUGAUCCAGCAAUGCCGCGUGCAGGAUGAAGGCCUUCGGGUUGGUUAAACGUAG